AAGAAAAGUUAAAAUGAGAAAUGAAAGAAAAAGAGAUAAGAAGCAAGAAACAAGGACAGAGGAAAACUCCCCAAACCCCAUAAAGUGGUGAAGAAGAAAGGAGAAAAGGAAAGUAAAAAAAAGAAAAAACAACCCCCCCACACACAUGAAAAAAAUUUCUCUGUGAUUUUGAAUAUGUGGUUUUCUUCCAGAAUCUACAAUUUUGGCCGAGUGUCCAAGUCAGGACAUGUCUCUGCUCAUACUGGUAGAUAAAGAAGGCAAUCAGACCACCAAUCUGUACUAGAUGCAGGUACCAGCAGCAGUAGGAUUAGGGUGAGGUUGCCAAUGCUGCAACUUUCAAAUCCAGAAAAACUCAAGCUGAGCCUGACCUCUGGUCAUGAGGGUGGGGCUUGUGUCUUUUAAUCCAAACCUCUUAUUGGGUCUCUUUCCAUCCUUAUCAGAGCUCCCUGACCAUGGUUUCCUGUGACUGUCUCUCACCCAGUCACUGUGGGAACAUAACACUGGGAGCCCUGAGGUGAAGCCAUCCAGCAGCUGCCCUGAGUUCUGGGUUCAAACAACCAGCCCUUCUCCAGAAUGUCAUCUGACCAAGGAAUAUGUCGGAUUCUUGGACUGGAGUCAUUCACCAGCUGUUGCCUGUCAAAGGACUCAUGUGGGAGCAUAUUUUCGUGUUCUUCUUGCAGCUCACAGCACCUGCAGGUAUCAAUCUCAACAGGAAGGAAGCUUUCUUCCAGUAGUUUUGGAAAAACAAAAACCAGAUUCCUCCCUGAGCUAAAGUAGGCAGAUAUCUUCUGCCAUACCUUAAAUGCCCUCCAUCUGGCCUACCUAGAGAUCAGCCUCAUUCCAUGGAGAACUUCUGAACUGAUGUACCUUCUUUUAUAGUGUGACCCUCUGUCUCCAGGAAAAGGUCAAUGUCAGUAGAACUCAUGGAAUUCUGGGUCCAUUCUGGUGGGGAGUUAAGAAAGCAGCAUUUGGUAAGAAUAUUGGUUUCCCAGGGCUGCUGUAAUGAGGGACUACAGGCUGGAUUACUUACACAACAGAAUUUAUUCUCUCACAGUUCUGGAGGCCAGAAGUCUGAAAUCAAGAUGUCACCAGGGC
rnacentral:lncRNA from 1 species